AUUGAACGCUGGCGGCAGGCCUAACACAUGCAAGUCGAACGAGUGGCGGACGGGUGAGUAAUGUCUGGGAAACUGCCUGAUGGAGGGGGAUAACUACUGGAAACGGUAGCUAAUACCGCAUACCAUCGGAUGUGCCCAGAUGGGAUUAGCUAUUAGGUGGGGUAAAGGCUCACCUAGGCGAUGGUCCCUAGCUGGUCUGAGAGGAUGACAAGAUACACUGGAACUGAGCCACGGUGCAGACUCGUACGGGAGGCAGCAGUGGGGAAUAUUGCACAAUGGGCGCAGGCCUGAUGCAGCACUGCAGCGUCAAUGAAGAAGGCCUUCGGGUUGUAAAGUACUUUCAGCGGGGAGGCGUUACCAGCAGAAGAAGCACCGGCUAACUCCGUGCCAGCAGCCGCGGUAAUUC
rnacentral:rRNA from 1 species